UAUUAUUGAUUUUGAAUAAUGUAAUGCUUGAGUAGUAAAAGUUAUUUUCUUGAAACUUAAAGAAUUUGGCGGUAUUUUAGUCUUUUUAGAGGAAUCUGUUCUGUAAUUGAUAACACACGUUUAAGUUACUUAAUUUUGUGAUCAGUUUGUAUAUCGCCGUCAUAAGAUUAUCUUAUUGAGAGUUUAAAAUUUCUUGAUUUUGGAAUAAAAAAUGUCAGGUCAAGGUGCAGUUUAUGAUUAAGUAGAAAUGGAUUACAUUCAUAGUAAUGAAAUGAAUGAUAUAAUAAAUAAUAUUUGAAAGUGGAUUUAAUUGUAAAAUUAUUUUAAAUGGUGAUUUGAUUAAAGCUCUAAAAUGUGUACAUAUCGCCCGUCGCUCUCGUUAAAGUAUGAG
rnacentral:rRNA from 1 species